CCUACGGGAGGCAGCAGUGGGGAAUAUUGCGCCAUGGGCGAAAGCCUGACGCAGCGACGCCGCGUGAGGGAUGAAGGUCUUCGGAUCGUAAACCUCUGUCAGCAGGGAAGAACGGUCACUGUGCUAAUCAGCAGUGAAUUGACGGUACCUGCACAGGAAGCACCGGCUAACUCCGUGCCAGCAGCCGCGGUAAUACGGAGGGUGCGAGCGUUAAUCGGAAUUACUGGGCGUAAAGCGCUCGUAGGCGGUAUGGCAAGUCAAGGGUGAAAUCCCCGCGCUCAACGUGGGAACUGCCUUUGAAACUGGGAAACUGGAGUGUGUGAGAGGAUAGUGGAAUUCCAGGUGUAGGAGUGAAAUGCGUAGAUAUCUGGAGGAACAUCAGUGGCGAAGGCGACUAUCUGGCACAUAACUGACGCUGAGGAGCGAAAGCGUGGGUAGCAAACAGGAUUAGAUACCCUAGUAGUC
rnacentral:rRNA from 1 species